AAUGAAUGAUGACAAAAUGUUUCGGUCCCAUAUGAUUGACACUGAUUAUACCGUUACAUUAAUUUCUGACAUU
rnacentral:snoRNA from 12 species